CCCCUGAGCUGGCAGGACCCCCGGAGCCAGAGGAGGAGAUCCUGGGCUCCGAUGAUGAGGAGCAGGAGGACCCUGCAGACUACUGCAAAGUUCCUACCCUCAGUGGAUCUGCAGCAGUGUUUUGUAACCAUUAAUGUGCCGUAAACAUUUCAAGCUUGUUUGCUUGUUGCCAGAAAGGAGCAGCAGCCUCGUUUUCUGCUGCGGCUCACGGUGGCAGAGAGCAGCAAUGUGCAUUCCAAACUGGACAGAAUUCUGUAAAUCAUGAAAAGCAUUUCGUUUUGCCUGCCCUGUCUGCUUAUAAACACAAAAAGAAGAAAUUUAUGUUGAUGAGUUUUGAUCAUUAGGCAUUUUUGCUCCAAAUAGAAGCUUGAUCUUAUGUCCUGAUAGUGUCAAACCAUCAUUUCUCAUUUCAUUAAAGUUAACGAAAAAUAAAAAGUUCACAUCU